rnacentral:rRNA from 1 species
UACAGAGGUCUCAAGCGUUGUUCGGAUUCAUUGGGCGUAAAGGGUGCGUAGGCGGCGCGGUAAGUCGGGUGUGAAAUCUCGGAGCUUAACUCCGAAACUGCAUUCGAUACUGCCGUGCUUGAGGACUGGAGAGGAGACUGGAAUUCCUGGUGUAGCGGUGAAAUGCGCAGAUAUCAGGAGGAACACCGGUGGCGAAGGCGGGUCUCUGGGCCAAUACUGACGCUGAGGAGCGAAAGCGUGGGGAGCGAACAGG